CGGAAAACGGAAAUCCGGAUUAUGUAAACACAUGCAAAAAUACUUAUAAAUUUAGUUAUAAUUAAUAAAAGGAUUUCUUGUUCUUUAUAGGUUUUUUAACUAUAGAAAUACCGUGUUUGAUUCUCUAAGUAAAAUUGUUGUGGAACCUUUGGUAUUUUUUAAACCAAUUUAUUUUAACAAUUUAUAAAAAUAGUGAUUUUUUAUUCUCACCAACCAUAUUUCAAACUUGAAGUAAUUAAUGAAUUGAAUUGAAGUCAAGGCAAUGAAUUAAUAUUUUUUCUUAUUAUUUUUUUAAUAAACUGCAAAAAAGUGUCCAGAUGACUUUUUGUGCCAUGCUGUCACAAAAUUUCCAUUAUAAUUCUAAAAUCAAAAAUUAAUAUAAAAAUAUGAUAGCCUGUCAAAAAAAAGCAAGUGUAUACAUACGUAGUCUACAGUAAUCCCAAUCAUGUCAGUGGAUAGUGGUACAUAUGCAUAUUACUGUUAUAUGAACAGAUCUUUUUUCUUAUAACUUUAGAAUGAUCGAAUGUUAUCAAAUUUAGAUUAUGUCUCAUCAAGAACAAUAAGUGGAUUAUUGGAAUUGAAUUCUAAAUGAAAUCAACAUGUCAGUGUAACUUCAGCAAAAAUUCAUUAUUGUUAAAAAUCAGAUCCAUGAAUAAUAUCUACCAGGUAUUCUAAAAAAAUCAACAGAAUAUUCAUAAUCCAUCAGCUGUAUACAUGUAUGUAUAACAAGAGAUCCCAGAGGGAUCUACGCAUCCACCAUUGAGAUUGAUCUCUUUUCUACUUUUCCAUUCUUUCCCCUCUUACUUUAAUUCUUUUAAUUAUAUGAGAAACCUACAUAUGAAGUCUAAGUUAGAUCUUAAGAAAAACUUUUGGAAAAGUAUCAAUAACAGAUUUAACUGUCGAUAACUAUGGUGGGCUGGCUGCCUUUAAGACAUUUUGUUUUCCUGAUCAGACUCAAAGAUAAAUAGGUAAAAGUAGGGAUCAAGGGAAUUUGUUAGGCAGUACUUU